rnacentral:rRNA from 1 species
AAGGCUUGACAUGUGCUAGAUCGCCAUAGAAAUAUGGUUUCCCCUUUGGGGCUGGUUCACAGGUGGUGCAUGGUUGUCGUCAGCUCGUGUCGUGAGAUGUUGGGUUAAGUCCCGCAACGAGCGCAACCCUCGUUCUAUGUUGCCAGCACGUUAUGGUGGGGACUCAUAGGAGACUGCCGGGGUCAACUCGGAGGAAGGUGGGGACGACGUCAAAUCAUCAUGCCCCUUAUGUCUUGGGCUUCACGCAUGCUACAAUGGCCGGUACAAUGGGUUGCGAUACUGUGAGGUGGAGCUAAUCCCAAAAAGCCGGUCUCAGUUCGGAUUGGGGUCUGCAACUCGACCCCAUGAAGUCGGAGUCGCUAGUAAUCGCAGAUCAGCAACGCUGCGGUGAAUACGUUCCCGGGCC